rfam:Brachypodium distachyon strain Bd21 chromosome 4, whole genome shotgun sequence.
GUAUUACUCCCUCAGUCCAACAAAAGAUGUCUCAAGUUUGUCAGAAUUUAAAUGUAUCUAGACAGGACUUAGUGUAUAGAUGCGUUCAAAUUUAGUCAAAAUUGGGACAUCCUUUUUUGAUCGGAGGGAGUAGUUA